GGUUUGAUGAUAGGCUCCCCCGCUCCUUCACUCUGCACUUCUCCUUCCUGCUACCAUGUGAAGACGUGUUUGCUUCCCCUUCUGCCACAAUUGUAAGUUUCCUGAGGCCUCCCCAGACCUGCAGAACUUUCCAGAAGAAAAGAGAUGCCAUUUUUCAGCAGGGUCAGUAAGGAGAGUUUAAAAAAUAAACUGGAGGAGUUUAUGGAAACCUUAAGGGUAUCAGCAGCUACCAUGCCUAUCUGAAGCAACAAGAGAAAGAAAAGCCUUUCUCAAGAGAAGUGUAUUUUAAGACAGAAGAUGAACCAGGUAUCACAUUCUUCCAUAUCCACAAAGCCACAAGUUUUUAAAAUUUGAACUAAAUACCUGCCAAUUAUGGAUUAACCACUUUAACCUUCACAGCAUUAUUUUUCUUUUGAAGAAAGAAAAACUUACAAAAGUUUGGAGGUGGGUUUUGAAGCCAAGGUGGUAUAAAUGGUGUGUUAGUACAUUUUCAUACUGCUAAGAAGAAAUACCUGAGACUGCGUAAUUUACAAAGAAAAAGAUGUUUAAUGGACUCACAGUUCCACUUGGCUGGGGAGACCUCACAAUCAUGGUGGAAGACAAAGGAGAAGCAAAGGGUGCCAGUGAUCCUAAGGUUGUUGAAUUCAAUGGAAACCUUUCAGUAGCACUUGAUACAGCAGAUCCACAUUCUUCUCUUCAUUGUCAGGAUAUCAGCCAGUCUGUUUUUUCCUCUUGCUGUCUGUUACGGCUCAUUACCAUGCCCUUUGCUGGAUACUCCUCCAGUAGAUUUCCAAAUGCUGGAAGUAUUGAAAAUGAAUGAAUAAGUAAAUAAAUAUGUUUUUGAAAAUUAAAAGAGAAUGUGGUAAGUAUUAAAAUAGAUACAAAAAUGAACCUGAAAUGGUUUCUGACUUCAAGCCCACUUUAAUAUAGAGCAAAUAGUAAGGUGGGUAUUAAUAACCAUAAAAGGAAGAGUCAGUAACCUACACAGCCUUCCCAUCUUGCUUCUAUUCUCAGGUCUCUUCAAGUCUAUACUGCACACAAUAGCCAGCGAGGCAUUAAGGCACUAAAAAGAUAAUGUCUUAGCAUACUGGGACCCCUCCAGUGGCUUACCACCUCAGCGAGGGUAAAACUCAACUCUCUAACAGAACCUCCAGGGUCCUCUGUAAUGUGACUUCUGGCUGCUUUUCCAAUCUCAUUUUGGACCAUUCUUUCCUCUUCAGCUGCACUGGGUCCUUCCUGUUCCUUAAACACUCCAGCUACAGUCCUACCUCAGCCUCUACUGCAUUUCUCUCAGGUUUCCCUAGGGCAACGCUUUCUCUCCUUUGGAGUCUCCACAUCAUCCUUGGGAGGGGAUUGUGUGGCCAAGAAAUAAUCACAUUGUCUUGUGCUCCAGAAGCUCGACCUUGUUUUGAAUGGAGUCAGUUUAAAGUAAAUACCAAGUGGAAAAGAAGUUACAAAAGGGCUGCCUGUACUCAUGGCUUGGCACUGAAUUCCUCUAGAACAAGAGAGUCGAGAGUGAGACAGAAGCUACAAUGAAAUUAUAACACAUCCUGAGAAGUGAUCUACCAUCACUUCUGUUGUAUUAUAUUGUUCUAACACACCAACCCUCAUAUAUUAUGGGAGAUGACUACACAGGGCUGAGAUACAAGGAGAUGAGGAUCCUUAGAAUUCAUCCUGGAGAUUGGCUUCUAUACCGUCAAAAGCUCAUUUUUAUUUGUUUUUGUUAUGAAAUAAUAUAUUGUGCUAAUCCACUUAUCAAAAAUAUUUAUAAAAUACAAAAAGCAUGUUGUUAUGAUUAGAAAGAAACCAAGGAAAUCAAGACUUGAGGGGCCAGAAUAUCUGAAAGAAUAGGAAUGCUUGAGAUGAAACCUACCUUUAAUUGCUUUCUUCCUCAGAGUAGUUGCUGAUCCGUGGUACUGAACAUAGAGGACAAGAGAAAAGCAGUGACAGUUUUCCUGAGCUGAGGGAAAGAAAAUUGAAGUUGAGGAUUAUAUGCCAGACCAAGAGCCAACGUAUGUUCUUUAUUAUAAUCCCAAACAUUGGAGCAGAGAGUAAGAUUGUGGAUGAUGUCUUGAGUUACAUAUGGGACUACAUCACUUCUUUUCUUCCGGCAUGUGAUGAAUAUUGUUUGCAUAAAUGUUUGCAGUAGACUGGAAAUGAUUCUGAGGUUAGAAGGUGGAAGCUUAUUAGUUGUAAAGGAAGGCAAAGUCCACAUACUAACAAUGAUGCUCUUUCAUUGUGGUGUUGGCCUUAUGUAUUAUACUUCAUUGGAGGCCUCAAAUAGGUGAAAUUGAUACAUGGAAGACUAAGGUAGCUCUGGUCCAUACACCAUCUUUUUUUUUUGUCUAAAAUAAGUAAAAUUUUGGGCUAUUUCAUCAGGGCAACAAAAAUGCAUGGGUUUUCAGUAAAUUUGAAGGUAUAUUUGAUACGUUAUUAUUUAUAUUUUACAUAGAACAGUUGAUGUAAAAUUCACUUUAGAGGACCCUGAUGAUACUUCAAAGAGACAGCUGGUUAUAUUUAUAAAGCUAUAUACACAGUUAUAAAAAUUUACACAAAAUAUUUUGAUACAUGUAUAGCUAGUGUGUAUAUUAUUGUUUUAUAUACAUAGAUUUGUUUGUAAUUUAUUUUUGUUGUUUACUUACCAUAAGCAGGCACUGUCAGCACUUUGUAGAUAUUACUUCAUUUAUUCUCCAGAAAAAUUCCUGUGUGCUAAAUAUAUCACUCAAAGCGAGGCUUAACUACUAGGAUGUGUGAGCAAAGUAUAGAAGUGUGUCUCUCUCAAAUGUACUAGGACUGGGUAAGUAAAUCAGAUCAGCAGGUAUUUCCCUUCCUUACAGCCACGCAGAGACUUGAUUCCUUCCGUGUUCCCUACUUUAAUACCUAAGUUAUUGUACCCAUUUACAUCGAAAAGUAGCUGCCUGAAAGUCCAGGUUUUUAGCUAGCUCAAAGGAAAGACACAUACUGCAAAGAGAACAUAGAGAGAGAAUGCUCAAAAUUUUAAAGAUUUGGGCAUGGAAAUGGCUCAGAUCACUUUAACUCAUAUCCCAAUGGGGAGAGCAUAGUCAAAUGAUAGGAUCUAAAUGCAAGGGAACCUGGGAUUGCAGCCCAGAUGGUUGUGAAAAACUAGCAAUUUCUCCUAAAUUAGGUGUGGUAGAGAUGCUAGUUGUCUCCCAAAAUAUUCUUCUUUUUUUCUGUGGUAAUAGGAUCCUGAUUUUUUUUUUUUUUCAGAGCAGGAGUGGAAAUUUAUUUAAAAGGGCUUUGGAACAGGAAGGAAAGGAAAAUUUCCUUGGAAGAGACCCAAGCAGGUGCCUGAAGGUCCCACAGAGAGGGGAAGGCAGCUGAAAAAAGGCAGACCCUGACUUUUUGAGUGGGUCUAAGUCCAUCCAGAAUGGACACCAUAUUUUCCAGCCUCCUGGGCAGCUAGGUACAGCCAUGUAACUAGUGCUGGCCAAUGAGACAUGUUCUUUGUGACAUAUCACAUAUCAUCUGUGUACCCUUUACCACACUCUCUUUUUUCCUUCCUUUCUUCUUUCUUGCCUCUACAUCAAAAUUCUGUGUUCCUUGACUAUGAAGUAAAGGCCACAAAUGAUAGAACAAGAAGAUAAAAGGACUCUGAUCCCUUGAUGCAUUAACCACCAUAUCAGUCCUCUUCCACUUGUUCAGUUUUGUUUUAGAAAAAGCAUAAACGUCAAUCUUGCUUAAGCCUCCAUUACUUUUGGGGUUUCUGUCACCAGCAGCUCAAUAUAAUCCUAACCGAUACAAUUGGUAUUACACUUCUUAUGUAAAUGACAGACUUAGGCCCAGAGAGGUAAAUGAUCUUGAUUUAGGAUAUAUAAAACCAAGAGAGUGUUGCUCCAAAUUCCAUGCUUUUCCUCCCGAUCUGUUCAGGCAAGAUGCAAAUAAAAACAAGUAAAAAUCUCUUUUGGUAACAAUGGGAAUAUAUGCGUGGCUCUUGGGGGGAGAAUUUAAACAAAUUGUUUACUCAAGUCACUGUAUGCUGAAACAAUUUAUGGCAUUCUAUCAUGGCAGUGCUAGCUUUCCCGUCCUUAGCAAAUCUCAUCCAGCUAGCUCAAAGGAAGAGAUAAAGAAGAAAGUUAGAUCUUUUGAGCUAAAUGAAACAGCAGAUAAAAGCAAACAGGGAAAUGCCAUCAGUUUAGAAAAUAAACAACAUAUUUAUCCUAGUCUGUGCCUCGAAUGCCUUAGGAGGGAAGUAUACAAAUUGAGUGUCUUCCCCCUCUAUUUUCUUUGUUGACAAUAGAUGUUGGGAACAUUAAAUCUGUCAGAGUGCUUGUGGGGAGAUAGGUCAGCUGAUCCUUUCCAAUGAUUGACAUCCUUGAGUUUCAGAGAAUUGACUAAUUUAGAGAUGAUCUGGUCUUUUGACCUUCAGGCUGUCAUAGAGACAGUCAUAGAGUUUGCACAGGUUACAAGUUGCUGACUGAGUCUGAUUUUUUUUUCCCGGUUAAGAACUGGAGUUGUGCAAUAGAUAAUGGGGGAAAAACGAAAGUUUAAACUGCAGUAAAAGACUUUUCCCCUACUAAUAACAUUAAUAUUCUUGAUGUGUUCUGAAAUGCACAUUAGGUAUGUAGUUACCACUGUGCUGUGUUAUAAAAUACUCUCUGUUAGAAAUAAAAAAGAUACUGUGACAGGAAUUCACUUUGGGAGUGUGGAAAAAGCAUAGAAAGAUGAAGAUACUCAUUCCAGAUCCAGUUCUGCUACUAACUCACCAGGUGUCCUUGGGGAAGGAAAUCAUCUGAACUUUCUGAAUCUCAUUUUCCACAUCUAUCAAAUAAGAGCUAAACAACUUUUCAGGGCUCUUUCAACUGUAAAAUUAAAAGGAGGAAAAUCUGGGAUUCUAUUAUCUCAAUUCUAAUAUAAACUCUUUAUUGUGCUAAUUUCUGAGAGCAGGAAUAACUGUCAAUAGAACUACUUUUAUCAGUAUUUUACCAUAUGGAGUUGUUUUUGUUUGAGGGGACAUGAUUUUACACUCAUUUUUCUCAAUUUCUGUAACACCAAGCUAAGUAAUAAUGACCAGAAUGGAUUAUCAUAAUAUCUGCUAACAGAAGUUUUCUAUAAUUUUUAAGAAAUUGAAAAUUAUUUAUUAGGUAAUAAUCAUAAAUAAUUGUUACAUUUAAUAUCAUAAUAAUUAUUAAAAAUUAAUAAGUAAUAACUUUAAAUUAUUUAUAAUCAUUUGCUUAAACCUUGGCUAUCAUAUAAUUCUGUGUGAACACUAGGAAUGAUUAGAUAGUGUAUAAUUUUUAAAAUGCUUGUGUUUAAGCACGCAUUUGUGACUUUUCUCCAUUGUAAUUUUUUUGUAAAUGAUUACUAUUAUUUAGAAUCUAAAUCAUGUUGAUAAAAGGAGCAAAAUAGCAGCAUUGUAAUAUAUAGGACACCUACAGUUUCUAGGAAUGCACUUUCAUUUUGUGACUGUUCUUCUCUCUGAUUCUGUAAACAAAGAGGGGAAAUAGAAACAUUCUCCAAAUCUCCCAGGGCCCUGUGACCAUGAAGCUUAGUUUAUUAAUCUCUAUCUUUCUCUUUUUUUCUCUCUCUACUAUAUAUGUAGUUUAUUCUACAUGUAUAAAAUUAUUGAGAAUAAUUUCACCAAAACAAAUGUUUCCAUCACACAGACUGCAGAUAUUUGUUUUCUUUUUUAUUCUGUAUUUUAGAUCUCUUUUCAUACUAUCUGUCAGAAUCUUACUGAUAAAGCUGAAGCCUCCUUUAACUCCUUAUGUAUCUAAUUCCCUUCCCUAUCUCCUGAAUAUAAAUCCUAUCCUAAAAGUGUUACAAAUUCCUCACACUUACAAACAAUAUAUACACUAGCUCUUUAUUUUUUUUCAUUAACAUUAUCUUUCUGGAUAUAUCCUUCUAAUUAUUAUUAUCUAAUGGUAGAGGAUGAGGAUUUUGCUGAACAUCCCAGGCACCACAGGACAGCUUCCAAAACAAGGAAUUAGUGUCAAAAUACCCCUAAAUACUGCUAAGGUUGAGACACCCUGAUUACCCAAAGUAAAUAUUUUAAUUUUAUCUAAUUAAUUUAAUUGAAAUCCUAAGUAUGUAUUGCUAGAGAGAAAAAAGCAGACACUUCACACUGACUUACUUCCUCCAAGUGGAGAAACACAGUACCUCUAACUUGUAGAAGAAAAAAAAGUGUAUGAAAGCAUUAUUGACGAACGCCUCUCCAUAUAUAUCGUAGAGAACAUCCUAAUCAUUGAAGUAUAAAAAAAUUUCCACCCUCUUGCUUUUAGCAAGAAAAAUUGGAAUUUCAUAUUUAACUUGUUAUAAGUAUCCAUUUUAACUUAACUAUCAAACUGUGUCAAUCACUCAACCACUAAAAUAAAAUAGGUCCUUCUUAAUACUGUGCUUUUUUUCCACAUUGUAACAAGUGGAUGUAUAAGAAACUAGACACCAAUUUAGAAAAAAAAAAAAAAAAAAACUUGUUAGUUUAACUACUCACUUUAUUUAUUUAUUUAUUUAUUGAUACGGAGUCUUGCUCUGUCGCCCAGGCUGGAGUGCAGUGGUGCGAUCUCCAUUCACUGCAAGCUCCGCCUCCCGGGUUAACUCCAUUCUCCUGCCUCAGCCUCCCGAGUAGCUGGGACUACAGGCGCCCACCAUCACACUCGGCUAAUUUUUUUGUAUUUUAAUAGAGACUGGGUUUCACCAUGUUAGCCAGGAUGGUCUUGAUUUCCUGAACACGUGAUCCGCCCGCCUCGGCCUCCCAAAGUGCUAGGAUUACGGGUGUGAGCCACCACGCACGGCCUCAAACACAUUUAAAUUUACCGAAUUUAUGUGUACAAUUCAAUGAUUUUUAGUAAUUUACUAAGUUGUGCAAUCAUCAGCAUAAUCUAGUUUUAGAAUAUUUCCAUCAUCCCAGUAAGAUCACUCAUAUUUAUUGACAAUUAUUCCCUAUGCCCUCUCCCUGUAAGCCCCAGACAACUGCUUAGCCUACUUUCUGUCCCUAUGAAUUUACAAUUUUUUAGACAUUCGUCAUAAAUGAAACAAUUCAAUAUGUAGUCUUCGUGUCUGGCAUCUUUUUCGAAUACAUUUUACAUAUUUUUCACAGGGAACUGCAGAAAUCUGCUUUUAUGAUUUUGGUACAAGUUUUUGGUAGAAGACAUUAAGUUUUAGGGUGGGGCUUUUAAUUGUGAAGGUUUAAUAUACUGAGCUGGAAUGGAGAUCACUGAAUAAUAAUUACAAGCUACACGUUGAAAUUAUUUGAGAGCAUGUUCUCAUUUUGUAGAUAUGUUUUCUAGAAAACUGUUUUUAUUUUCUAUUGUUUUUAUGUUUUCAUUAUUGUCUUGUUGAAAGUGUUAUGCAACCUAAACUCAUUCAAUACCCAAGUUGAAUACUCAUAAUAAGAUAUGAGUAUGUCUUACUCCUUGGCUGUUAAGCAAAGAAGCAUAUUUUCAACACACCUCACAUUUUUUUUCAGUAUAUUUCAAAACAUUCAUUUAUUGUGAGGACAUUUCAAAAUAUUAAUCCUUUCUAAAGUGAUACAGAGGGGAAAACAUGAAGGAAAAUACCUCUUCAUGGACAUAACAUCAUAUACAGAUGUUAGCAUACUCUGGUGUUAGACAAAGUAUAUAUUAUUUAUAUUUGUUUUGUUUCAAGUUUAGUCUAGCAUGAUUAUUACUGUCAUUUUUCCUAGAUUAAAAUAAAUAUCGGAUCACCAAAACAAAGUUGAAAUACACCAAAACAUAAAGAAUAUAUA